CCAAUAGCGUAUAUUAAAGUUGUUGCAGUUAAAAAGCUCGUAGUUGAAUUUCGGGGUUUGUCAGUUGGUCGGGCUUCACUGUCCGUACUGACUUGAUGAGUUCCUACCUUCUGAAUAACCAGCAUGCUAUUUAGUUAGUGCGUUGGGGAAGCAGAUCUAUUACCUUGAAAAAAUUAGAGUGCUUAAAGCGGGCUUGUGCUUGAAUAGAUUAGCAUGGAAUAAUAAAAUAGGACGGCAUGGUUCUAUUUUGUUGGUUUCUAGGAUCAACGUAAUGAUUAAUAGGGAUAGUUGGGGGCAUUAGUAUUCAAUUGUCAGAGGUGAAAUUCUUGGAUUUAUUGAAGACUAACUUCUGCGAAAGCAUUUGCCAAGGAUGUUUUCAUUAAUCAAGAACGAAAGUUAGGGGAUCGAAGACGAUCAGAUACCGUCGUAGUCUUAACCAUAAACUAUGCCGACUAGGAAUCGGACGAAGUUAAUUUUUUAAUGACUCGUUCGGCACCUUACG
rnacentral:rRNA from 1 species